rnacentral:misc_RNA from 1 species
UUUCCGUAGGCGAACCUGCGGAAGGAUCAUUAUUGAAUAAACCUGAUGUGGUUGUAGCUGGCCCUUUCGGGAGCAUGUGCACACCCGUCGUCUUUAUCUUUCCACCUGUGCACCUUUUGUAGACCUGGAUGUAACACUUUCCGAGGCAACUCGGUCGGGAGGAAUGCUAUCAGCUUUCCUUGAAUGUCCAGGCCUAUGUUUUCAUAUACCCCAAAGAAUGUAACAGAAUGUAUUAUUGGGCCUUGUGCCUAUAAACUAUAUACAACUUUCAGCAACGGAUCUCUUGGCUCUC